CUGGCUCAGAUUGAACGCUGGCGGCGUGCCUAACACAUGCAAGUCGAACGAGGAAGUCCCUCGGGGGCGAGUACAGUGGCGCACGGGUGAGUAACGCGUGGAUAAUCUACCCAAAGGUCUGGAAUAACAGUUGGAAACGACUGAUAAUACCGGAUGUACUGGCAACGGGAAAGUGGCCUCUGCUUGCAAGCUACUGCCUUUGGAUGAGUCCGCGUCUCAUUAGCUAGACGGUAGGGUAACGGCCUACCGUGGCAACGAUGAGUAGCAGGCCUGAGAGGGUGGCCUGCCACACUGGGACUGGAACACGGCCCAGACUCCUACGGGAGGCAGCAGUGGGGAAUAUUGCGCAAUGGGGGAAACCCUGACGCAGCGACGCCGCGUGGAGGAUGAAGGCUUUCGGGUCGUAAACUCCUGUCAAGAGGGAAGAAACCUGUGAAGAGUAAUAUGCUUCGCAAUUGACGGUACCUCUAGAGGAAGCACCGGCUAAUUCCGUGCCAGCCGCCGC
rnacentral:rRNA from 1 species